GACCUAAACCAUAGAUUUAUCUAUUGGCAUGGUCACAAAUCGUUAGGCAUGAAAAACCCGUUAUCAGGGCGUGCCUAACGUUAUAGGGGGAAACUCCUAUAGGGCUUUCGAGCCU
rnacentral:sRNA from 12 species